rnacentral:miRNA from 1 species
UUAGUGUCUGCUGCCCUUGCUG